AGACGUUGGGGGAAGCGCCACGCCGACUGAGUCAGCUGCUGGGGGCAUGCCCUUAAUUUCGCUCUGGGCGCGGGGAGGCCAGCCACAGCUGUUGAUUCUCGGACUCUGCGCCCACGGCCUCACCGCGCCCAGUGCCUUGGUUCCGGAUUCUUCCAUAACCGGCUGCCAGUACCGCCUCUCUGACGCCGGGAGUUGCUCCCUAAGAUCUGCUGCCGCCUUUCGCUGGACUUUCCCCCUGGGUGGAGCGGCCGAGGGGGUUUCGAAGCCUGCGUAUCCCUGACUCUUCACCCAGCGCCUCCGUGUCCCUCUACGGGCUCUAAGCGUUCCCCCGCCCCGCUUUUAAGCCGUCCGGUUGCCCUUUGGACCAGCAUCGCUCCGGUCUGUGUGGUAUAAUUCAGUAGUGUUUCCUCAGCACCACAGUCUCUGGCGAUUUCCCUAAUUUAUCUCGAUACAGAUCACUUGGAUUCAGUCGAGUUUGCUUUGCUCCGUGGGAACUGCACCAGAGCUGGAGGUUAGCAUCUUGCAAG
rnacentral:lncRNA from 1 species